CUGGGUGGGGCAUCGAGAAGGUUCACAGACAGAGGGGGAUGACUGAAUAAACUCCCAAAUUCCAGAGCCAGAGAAUUGUUGGUCUUGCACCAUUGACUCAGAGACAAUUCUCAGAUCCAUGACUAUUGACCAUCUUUGGGAGGUCCUUGGAGGAUCUUAUAUCAGGAGAGUGAACCUCCUCACAUUGAGUUCAACAGGGAAGGUGCUGUGCCCCAGCCCGGGGCUGGGGACUGUGGUUGGGGAAGGAAGUCCCAGGCUGACCAACAUCUUUUGACCAAUGAUCAAGCUGAGGAAGUGAGAUGCUGGGCAUGAUUUCAUUCAUCCAUUCAUGAGAGACACACGGAGAGAGAGAGAGGCAGAGACGCAGGCA